GGGCUCAUAGUAUAGUGGUAAUACGUAUCCAUGGCAUGGAUAAAUUCGGGGUUCGAUUCCCCGUGAGUCCACCA
rnacentral:tRNA from 1 species